CCGUUAGCUCAGUUGGUAGAGCACCGGGCUUUUAACCCGAUGGUCCUGGGUUCGAGCCCC
rnacentral:tRNA from 1 species